rnacentral:rRNA from 1 species
AUACGGAAGGUCCGGGCGUUAUCCGGAUUUAUUGGGUUUAAAGGGAGCGCAGGCGGAGAUGCAAGCGUGACGUCAAAUUUCGGGGCUCAACCCCGUCUCGCGUCGCGAACUGCGUCCCUUGGUUGCGGGAAGGGGAGGCGGAACUCGUGGUGUAGCGGUGAAAUGCAUAGAUAUCACGAAGAACUCCGAUCGCGAAGGCAGACUUCCGGCCCGUCAACGACGCUCAUGCUCGAAGGGGCGGGUAUCAAACAGGAUUAGAUGCCCUGGUAGUCCGCGCAGGAAACGAUGGACACCCGCGGGUUGGCCUGUAUGGCUGAGGCGCCAAGCGAAAGCGUUAAGUGUCCCACCUGGGGAGUACGCCGGCAACGGUGAAACUCAAAUGAAUUGACGGGG